CCCGCGCGCCCGGCCGCGUCGCCCCCGGCCCUGCGGCCCCGCAGACAGCGGACCCCGCCCCCAAAGGGGGGACCAGGUAACCUGCUUCCGAGAGUGCCACGGCGACCCCAAACCGCUCCCCCCCAAGUCGUAGUAAAUCUCACGUUUUCUGCCGGCUGGGAAGGAAGGAUUGGAGCGGUGAGGGGAGGUUCAUUUCGGCCGCUUGAAGUUUUCUUUCAAACUGGGAUUUGUGACGAGGCCGGGCGAAGGGAGCGGGACGACGAUUCAGCGCCCGCCGCGGAGCUCAGGCAUCGGCGUCCUGGCCGGAGCCGGGGUGUGCGCGUGGACCCACCCACUCGGGCUUCGCAAUUAACUAUGCGGUACAAUUUCAGAAAACGGCACCGGGGAGACCGGGACACGAAUCACGAUGAAUUGAGGGAAUGAAUUGAGAAGGAAAUUCAGGUCUGAGAUGAAGCUCAACUAUUUUGAAAGUGCUUUACCGUGCAAGUUUAAAAUUAGAGUGUUUACUUGCUUUUGCUCCCCAGGGCUUGUGCCGCAUUCACCAAAGUCAAAGGAACGGGUGAGGGUCCAAAAAGUUGGUACGAGGGAAGUGUUGCCGUCAAUAUCAUCAGAUCAUGGUAUGUCCAACUCACCCCAAAGAAGUCAAGGUUAUGUUUAUAUACUAAAACCAGGGGUUCUAUUUCAUCCUCUGCAGUUGAAUCAUCCCGGCUCUGAGACUCACAAUUUUUCUUGUAGAAAGGAACCUUUGUAUAAACUGUAGUAAUUCACUGAGUUCACAAUUUUUCUCUACAGUAUUUUUAUAGUGGUUAGAGGGUAUAUUUAUUUCCAUCCUUUGCUGUAACUACGCAACACACAUUUUAAAAGUACAUAUAUGGUUAUACUAUGGAUAAAAAUGGAUCACUAGGGAAGUGCAGUACCAUAUAAAUAUUCACUUUGGGAAGUUAGUGAGGAGGUGGGGAGAAAACAUACCCACACCCACCAUUUUUCAAACAGCUGCUUCUUUUUCAUCCUUUCUGUCCCAUCCUACCAGAAACUGUGCCAACCCAGCACCAACACUUAUCUUAGCUCUUUGCACAUUUCUUUCAAUAUACGAUUUGUAAAUUUUUUUUAUUGGUUGAGUUCUAAAAGAAAAUCUGUCUCCCCCACUAGAAUGUCAUCUUUGUCUUAUGUCUGUCCUGCUAACAAUUGUUUUCUCAGAACUAGCACAGUGUUUGGCAUGUCGGUACUCAAUAAACUUUUACUAAAUGGAUGAAUAGCUAAUCACAUACUCACGUAGCUUCGUGUGUUAAACUGUUUUUAAGGGACAAAAAGGGUAGGAUAACAAAGAUAUAUUCUAAUUCCAUAAAGAUUUUGGUCAAGUCUUGGCUCGUAAGUAAUGUUAACAAACAUCAUUAACAGGUCAACUCUCUGGCUAUGUCCACGUGAAGAAUGUGAAUACCUUGCUAAAUAAUAUAACUUAUAAAGAGGAAGAGUGGUUAAAAUUGUACAUCAAAUAUAAUUUCGAAUAAAAUGCAUUUAUGUGA